AUGAACGCUAGCUACAGGCUUAACACAUGCAAGUCGAGGGGCAUCAGUUUGGUUUGCUUGCAAACCAAAGCUGGCGACCGGCGCACGGGUGAGUAACACGUAUCCAACCUGCCUCAUACUCGGGGAUAGCCUUUCGAAAGAAAGAUUAAUAUCCGAUAGCAUAUAUUUCCCGCAUGGGUUUUAUAUUAAAGAAAUUCGGUAUGAGAUGGGGAUGCGUUCCAUUAGUUUGUUGGGGGGGUAACGGCCCACCAAGACUACGAUGGAUAGGGGUUCUGAGAGGAAGGUCCCCCACAUUGGAACUGAGACACGGUCCAAACUCCUACGGGAGGCAGCAGUGAGGAAUAUUGGUCAAUGGACGCGAGUCUGAACCAGCCAAGUAGCGUGAAGGAUGACUGCCCUAUGGGUUGUAAACUUCUUUUAUAUGGGAAUAAAGUUGUCCACGUGUGGAUUUUUGUAUGUACCAUAUGAAUAAGGAUCGGCUAACUCCGUGCCAGCAGCCGCGGUAAUACGGAGGAUCCGAGCGUUAUCCGGAUUUAUUGGGUUUAAAGGGAGCGUAGGCGGAUUGUUAAGUCAGUUGUGAAAGUUUGCGGCUCAACCGUAAAAUUGCAGUUGAUACUGGCAGUCUUGAGUGCAGUAGAGGUGGGCGGAAUUCGUGGUGUAGCGGUGAAAUGCUUAGAUAUCACGAAGAACUCCGAUUGCGAAGGCAGCUCACUGGAGUGUAACUGACGCUGAUGCUCGAAAGUGUGGGUAUCAAACAGGAUUAGAUACCCUGGUAGUCCACACAGUAAACGAUGAAUACUCGCUGUUUGCGAUAUACAGUAAGCGGCCAAGCGAAAGCAUUAAGUAUUCCACCUGGGGAGUACGCCGGCAACGGUGAAACUCAAAGGAAUUGACGGGGGCCCGCACAAGCAGCGGAGCAUGUGGUUUAAUUCGAAGCAACGCGAAGAACCUUACCAAGGCUUGACAUCCCACUAACGAAGCAGAGAUGCAUUAGGUGCCCUUUUAGGGAGAGUGGAGACAGGUGGUGCAUGGUUGUCGUCAGCUCGUGUCGUGAGAUGUUGGGUUAAGUCCCGCAACGAGCGCAACCCUUAUCUUCAGUUACUAACAGGUCAUGCUGAGGACUCUGGAGAGACUGCCGUCGUAAGAUGUGAGGAAGGUGGGGAUGACGUCAAAUCAGCACGGCCCUUACGUCCGGGGCUACACACGUGUUACAAUGGGGGGUACAGAAGGCCGCUACCUGGUGACAGGAUGCCAAUCCCAAAAACCUCUCUCAGUUCGGAUCGAAGUCUGCAACCCGACUUCGUGAAGCUGGAUUCGCUAGUAAUCGCGCAUCAGCCAUGGCGCGGUGAAUACGUUCCCGGGCCUUGUACACACCGCCCGUCACACCAUGGGAGUUGCAAGCACCCGAAGUCAGUGACUUAACCCGCAAGGGAGAGAGCUGCCGAAGGUGAGAGCAAUGACUGGGGUG
rnacentral:rRNA from 1 species